GAUCCAUCCUGGCGAUCUGAGUAUAAAUAGUGCCCACUUUGAGUUUUCACUGCCAUAUCGUUACUGCAACUUGGAACAAACCGCGAUGAUGUUUAAACCUACUAUACUGACGUUGGGGCUGCUCUUGUGUGCUUUCCUGGCAUACGCCUCUGCCCGGCCCGAUUCACUGCCGCCACCACAUGUGUUGGGAGGUCUUUUACUAUCAAAACUUAUCGAAUAGGCAAAUCGGAAUAAAUUCCUUCAAAAGC